rnacentral:tRNA from 1 species
GCCUGGGUGGCUCAGUCGGUUGAGCGUCCGACUUCAGCUCAGGUCACGAUCUCACGGUUCGUGAGUUCGAGCCCCACGUCAGGCU